UUGUCACAUAGGUCUGGCUGGAACCGCGUUAUAGCGGACAGUAACCAACCUUGAACAGCAAAAUAGCAGCUAAAUGAAUAAGUGUCUUGAAGAAAAGAAUACACAAUGACGCUACACAACAACACAGGACUGGAACCGGAAACCGGAAAUGAAUUAGUACGUCAUCUGAGAACAAGGGCCGACAAGGUUAAAAGUAUAUCAAUAUAAUAAAUAUUUAUAAUAGAAGGGUUAUUAGUCCCAAAAUGGGGAAAUUUACAUCGUUUCAGCAAAAAUAGCAUGCAAUAGAAGACAUUUGUACAAAAUAGAAACCUAAGCUAUUGUCUCUGCAUAAACUAGCCAAGCCAAUCAAUUAACAAAGUUAUUUGUAUGUUUGCAAAAUAGAGCGCUGAGUUUUAAUUUUGACUUUUGAGAUCUGAAUAAUCUGACUUGCUUUCUUUACUACGGUUGGAAAAUCCGUAAAGUCUAAUUAGACACAGAUAUUUUGGACAACGGCACGUUGAAAUCUCGUAUACAGUACUUUGAUUCAGGCUGCAACUGUGUCCACAAUUACAUGGCUGAUGCAAUAAAUAGAUUAAAUUGACAACUGUUGAAGCCAUAAUUUAUUAACGAUUAUCAUUAUAGAGUCAUGGUUUUGUUGUGCAAUUGAACAGUAUGCAGAAAUAUUUGUAUCCUAUUAUACUGCAAUAACUGUUCCGCGGUAAUGUUCUUGACAUAAUUUUUAAAAUAGGGAUAUUUAGACAAAUUGUUCUGGAAGUGAAUUUCUAUAGGUUGACAGUGCUGCAAUCCUAGCCAUAAAUGCAAUUUUACUAAUAACUGGCGUAAUAAUUUGUUUCGGUCUUUUCGCCCUUGGUUUCCUCAUUUUCAGCUUUCGUUUCGGCCAAGAUUUUUUUUCAUUUUUUUAGUGAGUAUGUUUGUCAACAAAACAACAAAAGUAUGUUAUUUCCAUGAAAUAAAGAUCAAAGCAAUGACAAAAAAUGUCUAUUUUAUUUCUUGAUUUAAUGAGGAACUUGAAGAUUUUUUUACUUUAUUUAGUUAAAUUGUGAUGAAACUUUUUAAAAAUUUAUUGUAUUUUUUUCAUUUAUUUAUCAUCAUAGGGAAAAUUUUGUGAUAAAAUAAAUACAUCCCAAAAAUAUAAAUCGCAUAAAAUAAUAACAAUAAUAUUUUGGGGGAAAAGACUACACAAGGACACUGGAAGAAUCCAAACAUUUAUUGAACAAAGAAUGCUUAUUGACCAAAUAAAUAAAAUGUAUGUAGCAUAUUAUAUAUUGAUUCACUCACUUAUAAUUAGUUAAUUUACCUUUAAACCUUUUUAUAAUAAUAAUAAUAAUAAUAAUUACGCCGGACAGAAGAAACGCUUCCGGAAGAUCCGGAAGUCUUCAUUGUUGUGUGAAGGGGCGGGGGCAGGAGUCACGUGACGCUGCUAACCACAUAAAACAAGCGGCAACAUUAAUAGCGGUCUCUUUCCUCCUCGUUGUUUGUCAUUAAUGGGAACGGGGGGAAAUUCUCACACGGUAUUUUCCCGUUUUAUUCCUCGUUUUCUCCAAAUCGUGUUUAAUUGUUCGUUGUUUACUUGUAGUGGUGAGUGUAAUGACUCAUUUCAGUGUAGAACUGUUGGCGAGCUUCCUGCCUCGGUCGCCAGCCUCGUGGUGCUAUUAAUGGCACGCCUAGAAAGAUGGCAGUGUAACCUCAUGCGUUUCUUUCUAGUACAUGUAAUAUUGGCAAACCUCUCCUGACUGAACUAUUGGGGCGAGGGGUAAAGUGCAGCGUAUUUUAGGAAACCCAGCGCUGUUUUUUUUUUUUUUUAAUUUAAGGCGCCACCUGCCGAAGUGAUCAUGUCGAAUACUAGCCAAACAAAAUGUCGUCUUUGAAUAGAAAACCUUUUAUUUUUAUUUUUUGAAUGGUCAAACCUUCAAUGAUGAGUUGCAUGUGAGUCCGUGUUUCAGCUGAGUCUGAUGAUGAUUCCUCACUGCGCUGACGAGUUUGACCCAACACAGCGUUGCAGUGUUUUUAUUUCUGUGACCUUUUUCUAAUGCGCAUUGUGUCAUUUCUCUCCCUUUUUUUUUUUUUUAGGUUCUCCACGUUGACUUUGUUAGUGAGGUGAUUUUCCUGAGUAUCCUGCUGCUGAAACAUGUAGAUUUUAAAUUUAACUAAGACCUGAUUCCCUUAAGGAUUUUGUAUGUAAGCGCUAUGAUGAAAUAAGUUGAUUGUCUACAGUUUCCUCUAAUACUGAAAUUGUGGAGUCUUUUAAUGCCAUCUGACUUGAGUUUUGUGCGUGUGCCUGAGUGAAAUGUGUCAAAUAAAAUUUGAGUUUGUUUAAGCUUG